UACGGAGGGUGCAAGCGUUACUCGGAAUUACUGGGCGUAAAGCGUGCGUAGGUGGUUCGUUAAGUCUGAUGUGAAAGCCCUGGGCUCAACCUGGGAAUGGCAUUGGAAACUGGCGAUCUAGAGUGCGGUAGAGGGUAGUGGAAUUCCCGGUGUAGCAGUGAAAUGCGUAGAGAUCGGGAGGAACAUCUGUGGCGAAGGCGACUGCCUGGACCAGCACUGACACUGAGGCACGAAAGCGUGGGGAGCAAACAGG
rnacentral:rRNA from 1 species